UACGUAGGGUGCAAGCGUUGUCCGGAAUUAUUGGGCGUAAAGAGCUCGUAGGCGGUUUGUCGCGUCUGCUGUGAAAACUCGGGGCUUAACUCCGGGCCUGCAGUGGGUACGGGCAGACUAGAGUGCGGUAGGGGAGACUGGAAUUCCUGGUGUAGCGGUGAAAUGCGCAGAUAUCGGGAGGAACACCGGUGGCGAAGGCGGGUCUCUGGGCCGUAACUGACGCUGAGGAGCGAAAGCUAGGGGAGCAAACGGG
rnacentral:rRNA from 1 species